rnacentral:ncRNA from 1 species
AUAUGAUAAUGUGAACUUGUAAUCAUGCAAACGUAAUAUUAUAUGUAUGUGUAAGAACCGCUUUUAAUGAAAUGUUGAUUGAUGUUUUGUAUAUGGAUUGUACCUCGAUAAUGAGUGGAAACCGGUUUAUUAAUUCCCAAAAUAAUAUCGUGUUUUUUUAAAAAAUUAUUACCGUUGUUUUGGUUUUGAAAAGCUGGGUUAUUACAGUAAUUUCUGUCAAGUGCUCCGAAUGUCAAAGUGAAGAAAUUCAACCAAGCACGAGUAAAUAACGAGAGUAACUAUGACUCUUUUAAAAUAGCCAAAUGCUUCGCUAUCUAAUUAAUAACACACAUAAAUGGAUUAAUGAGAUUUUUAUUGUCCCUGUCUAUUAUAUUUUUACUGUCCCUGUCUUUUAUCUAAUGAAACUACACGUAAGAGAAUGAGCUUGGUGGAAUCAGCGGGGAAAGAAGACUGUCUUGAACUUAACUCUAGUUUAAUGUUGGGAAAUGACUUUGCGAGGUGGAGGAUAAGCCGGAGUUUUGGUGAAGGUGAAAUAACACUAUUUUUAAUAUUAUUUUACUUAUUUAUGAACUGAAGGCGGACGCUACCCCUCUUUUUAAAUCCAAGGACACUUUGACGGCUGAUCCGGGAAGGUGGGAAGUUUAGCUAUGUCGGCUUAAAAACAAUUUGCUUCUUCUUGAUAUUUUUUUACUAUGAAAAAAGAAGAUAAACUCGCUGUGGGCCACCUAUUUAUUAAUUAAAUAAAAGGAGAGGAGAAACUCUGUACCUGCCUGACUUGGCUGCACUCUUUAUUCGGAUCGGGGCAGGAUAUCUUCUUCAAUCAUUUUACAUCUUUUCUUGUAUCUGUUUUUUCUUAUGUCAACAAGUCAUCCUGUCUUCUCAGUUACCAGGCUUUCAAAUCGCUCGGUAAUUUCUCUAUAAUUUUGUUAGAAACUUGUGUUCCUUUUAUUUCGAAUUAUUUGAUUAUUGUUGACCUGCUCGGGUUCGAAUCA